rnacentral:rRNA from 1 species
GACGAACGCUGGCGGCGUGCUUAACACAUGCAAGUCGAACGGCAAGGCCCUGCUUUUGUGGGGUGCUCGAGUGGCGAACGGGUGAGUAACACGUGAGUAACCUGCCCUUGACUUUGGGAUAACUUCAGGAAACUGGGGCUAAUACCGGAUAGGAGCUCCUGCUGCAUGGUGGGGGUUGGAAAGUUUCGGCGGUUGGGGAUGGACUCGCGGCUUAUCAGCUUGUUGGUGGGGUAGUGGCUUACCAAGGCUUUGACGGGUAGCCGGCCUGAGAGGGUGACCGGCCACAUUGGGACUGAGAUACGGCCCAGACUCCUACGGGAGGCAGCAGUGGGGAAUAUUGCACAAUGGGAGGAAGCCUGAUGCAGCAACGCCGCGUGCGGGAUGACGGCCUUCGGGUUGUAAACCGCUUUCGCCUGUGACGAAGCGUGAGUGACGGUAAUGGGUAAAGAAGCACCGGCUAACUACGUG